rnacentral:lncRNA from 1 species
UUCCUGUUUAAAAUGUGGUAGGGGGAGGGUGUGGACCGAUGGAGAUAACAGUGGGUGAUGAUUCCAUAGAUUAAACUGGUAUUCAUAGUCAAAGAAUUGUAAUUAUUCAGCAGAUACGCUACAGUAUAUGCCUCAAAUAAAAUUGCCGAAAAUAAUAUCCGCCCACUGGAGUCUUUUGACGUUUACACCUUGUUAUCCUCCUCAUCAAGACGUGCACCCAAGCAUCAAACCUAUGAUUUGGAAAUGAGAGGUUAUUACCAUGCUGUCGAUGCUGUCCCGUAUCUACCGUACUGAUGGUGAAGGUGAAACGCAAUGGUCGACUGAACUCUUGUCAUCUUUGUGGCCUGUAUAAUUCUAAAAUGUGUAAUCAACAAUUGCAGAGCACUGGCAAAUUACAUUAUUCACCCAAUGUUUUUGUAUUAUGUUGUGCUAAUGUCAUUUUGCUGAUAUGAUGCCGACAACAUUAAUGAUGGAGAAUAUAUUUAGACAAAAUCCACACACAGAAAUAGCCAGCCUGUCAGGCUACAAAGGAUUUUGAUUAUUUUAAUACUUGGCCUUAGGUCACAGUGAUUAUUAAUGAACAUUCCUACAAUACUGAAACUUAGAAAAUACAUAUUGCAUAUUUACAUUGACCCUGCAUCAUCAAAACAUUAAAAUAUUUCUGUAUACAAUAAAGCAACCGCACAAUAAUAUUCUAAAUAUAAUUUACUGAGAAAUUCAAUUAAACAUAAUAUAAUAAUAGUAAAAUAAAAUUAAUAACAUACAAUAUAACAAUAAUUAAUAAUCAAUUACAAAA